UACGUAGGGUGCAAGCGUUAUCCGGAAUUAUUGGGCGUAAAGAGCUCGUAGGCGGUUUGUCGCGUCUGCUGUGAAAACUGGAGGCUCAACCUCCAGCCUGCAGUGGGUACGGGCAGACUAGAGUGCGGUAGGGGAGAUUGGAAUUCCUGGUGUAGCGGUGGAGUGCGCAGAUAUCAGGAGGAACACCGAUGGCGAAGGCAGAUCUCUGGGCCGUAACUGACGCUGAGGAGCGAAAGCAUGGGGAGCGAACAGG
rnacentral:rRNA from 1 species